rnacentral:lncRNA from 1 species
AGUCCAGCCGCAGGGGCCACCCGAACAGUCUCUCCUCCUCACAGAAGCCUGGAGCUGGGCAUCCAAGAAGAAGCAGCCUCAUUUGUUUUCUGGUGUCAUCCUUCUCACCUGGGGCGGGUGGGUUCUGCACCACCCUCCCACCCUCCUUCCUCCGUGUGGACGAUAGAGCCACAUCCAGCACCACGGACAGCUCCCGGGCGACCAAAAAGAAGAAUGUACUUCAUCUGGUUGGGCUGGAUUCCCUCUGAUAAGCCUUCCCAGUUGACUGAAAGAUGAGGCUAGGCUCUAGCAAGUUGAAGUCAAACCAGCUCCUUCAAGAAGCUUUGAGCAGAAUGAAGUGGGGAGGACCCAGCUUCCAGCCCAGGAAGCCCACUGUACCUGGAGCCAUCUGGGAUAAGACUUUGACCCAUGACUCCCAUAUCCACAGCCUGUCCAUCCUAGCCCAUCCCAGUUUAUCCUGUAUCAUUUGAGCUGGGAUUCCCACAUCCUCUGAGUUGGAAGUCCCAUCUCAAGUCUUCAAUAAAGACUCUUGAAUAUUGAAUCACA